rnacentral:antisense_RNA from 1 species
GAGACAAGGAAAUGCUGUCACCGCUGUUAACACGCACGUGGAGGUUGGUUAAAGGGAAGACCUGGGUUUUAGUCCUGUCUCCAUCAACCUCAAGAAAUGGGACCUCAUGGAAGGGAGGGGAGGCAAUGCCGAGGAUGUGCUCCUGAGCAGGUGCCACAAUUCUUCACCUGUAAGGCCUCCAGAGGCCCAAACUUUAAUAGAAUCUGAGAGAAAAAAGUGGCCAGUCUAUCUGCUAUCCAGAGUGAUGCCAAACUCUUUCUCCCGGAGCCAGUUCUCCCCGUUGGGCAGUCAGGAAACAAUAAGUGAACAAGAAGUAACCUCAGAAGAAGAAAGAACUUUGGGAGAAUGCACUGAGAAAGGCCAGACUGAGUCCCCUUGGAUGAAGUUAAUUAAGAAACAAACA